ACAUGGACCUCUAACGUUUUUGUUUCCAUCGAAAGUGCGGCCGCCGCGGUUGGAAUUCGAUCCCGCGACCUGCGCUUUAGGAAAGAUUUGUGAAGCUGGUUGUGCACAGCAAACGCCGUUUUUGUAAUAGGGAAGAAUUAUCGUCUGUUUCAAUUGGGUGCCCUAAUCAACGUUACCAAGAUACAAUUCAGGUUGUACUUACGCGUCAGUAAAGCUGCCACUCGGUCUGGCAUGGCACCGUUGAGGACGCAAUCACUCCCCCGAAGCAGAUGUCCCUGCAGCUGUGCACGGAAAACAAGCAGCAGGUGGUGCGCUAUUCUCCACGACCACCGCAUGCCUCUAAGAGGGUCGUUGACACGGCCUACCGAAUUCCCAGCUACGAACAUGCCACUGGUAUUAGGCCUUUCGAGGUUCUCGAUUGCCACCAGUGCGAGAUCUGCGGCUCAUAUACCACUGGGGAAUUUUGUCUCAUUUUGAAGACUGGUUGUGUGGAGUCCAAUUGGUGGGCAAAGCCUUCGGAUUUCACCUGGCUUCUCAGCCACAUCCUGUGUUUGGAGAGAGCUGACAAGCGACAUGCUGCAAACAACACACAAAUUUCUCUAAUCCUUGUACUUACAGCUCCACCUGGCUGCACGUGGCUUGAAACUGCUUCUCCGCGAUACGAAAACCAACAAUUGUGCAGCAGUUGCAUUUCACCCCAUAAACCUUUUAGACUCAACAAUUCAAAUUGGGUCACGAAAUUUGCAACAGUUUGUUUUUCUAGUCAAAGCAAAACCAAAACACAACAAUAAAGAAAGCCGCCACUGCGUUCAAAAGCCCACAAAGACAAAGGCUAGGCACAUUUGUGUACUAGCCAUCAUUCCCACCAUACCACUUUCGAAUUCGUUAUAGAUAAGUUCGACUGUAUAAGUAUUCCUGUUUGCAGAUGGUACAAAAUGAAAAAAAAAAUCAACAGAAACAGUACUAAUAAAGAGCCAUCUACCAAUUUCUACAAA